AGCUUAUGAACUUGAUAAAGUAUAUGUUUUGAAAACAUAAUAUAGAAAUUCAAAUUUUCUAUAGGCUU
rnacentral:tRNA from 1 species